GGCCCAUCGCCCAAGGCUAAAUACUCCCUAGUGACCAAUAGUGAACCAGCGCCGUGAAGGAAAGGAGAAAAGCACCCCGGAAGGGGAGUGAAAAAGUGCCUGAAACCGUGUGCAAACAAGUAGUGAGAGCGCGAAAGGGGGUGAUAGCUUGCCUUUCGAAGAGUGAACCCGCGAGUUACGAUUUGUUGCAAGGUUAAGCGGAAAAAGCGGAGCCGUAGCGAAAUCGAGUCAGAAUAGGGCGCAUAAGUAACAGGUCGUGGACCCGAAACCAGGUGAUCUACCCAUGUCCAGGAUGAAUGUAAUGUAAUACUUACUGGAGGUCCGAACC
rnacentral:rRNA from 1 species